CAGCAGUGAGCAGCAGCUGGACGGUCACAUCUGGGAAUGCAAAGCCGGCCUACCUCCACCUCCUCUCCUACGAACACUUCCAAAACCACUUCGCCUUCAGCCCUUGCCUCUUCCAGAGGGGUUCAUUUAAUGGGGAUGUGUUCAAGGCAAGAGCGAAUUCAGAAGGAUAUCGAAGUCGUGAUCCAGAAGUACAGAGCCGAGAAGGACUGCCUGUUUGCAGAUUUCGGAUACUCAGACUCCACCUUUACUUUUACCUAUGUUGGUGGCCCCAAAAGUGUGUCUUACUCAGUACAUGUAUCUGAAGAUUACCCAGAUGAUAUAUAUGUGUCAAGUUCAGAAAAUGACGAAGAUGUACUAGUUACUACAGAGCCAAUUCUCAUAAUUUUUCAUAAAAUAGCAACAGAGUUAAGAAAAACAAAUGACAUUAACUGUUGCUUAUCCAUAAAAUCCAAAUUGCAAAAGGAGUCAAGACAGAAUAGUACAGUGGAAGAAGAUUCUGAAGAAUUUUAUUAUGGAGGACAGGUGAACUAUGACAGGGAACUGCACAAGCACCCACAGCUAGAAGCUGAUUUGUCUGCAGUAAGAGAGAGAUACGGGCCACAAGCAGUUUUCUCUCAGAAUAUGGAGCCAUUGAUGAUGUAGAUAAUUAAUUUGCAUAUUGAUGUUAGCUUUCUUGAUGAGGAGAUUGCCAUGGCUUGGGAAGUAAUUCGAACAGAGCCUAUCAUUGUUUGACUGCACUGUUCACUUUCACAGUACUUAAAUGGCCCAGUGCCCACUGUUGAUGUCUUUCAGAUUUCCACAAAAGAACGGUUUGGAUUGGGACAUCAACUAAAAAAAAAUCAUGCAGAUGUUUGUUACACAGCAGUGGAAACAGAGCAAAGAAAAAUCCAAUUGCCUGCACAAUAAGAAGUUGUCAGAGAAGAAAGCGAAGUCUCCCUUGCACUUAUUUUCUACUUUGCGCAGGUCGCCAAGUUAUCCUCCCUGGGUUGUGGUAAAAGUAAAUCGAAACUGAAAUCUGAGCAAGAUGAAAUCUCCAAAACGCACAAGCUGCUGUGGAGGACUUGCUCCAGCACGGUCAAGACGGACGACGUGUGCCCCACAAAGUCGCACAGGACUUUUGGUCGCACCCUGUCCAGUGAUCCCAGGGCUGAGCAGGCGAUGACAACAAUUAAAUCACACAAACUCUUGAACCGUUCCUGCUCUGCAUCUGUUAAGCAAGAGGACUGCCUCACUUUGAAGUCCCAUAAACUAUUGAUCUUGUUCUGGAGAUCCAUGCUGUGAGCACACCAGUCUCAAGCCCUACAAACUGUUAAGCAGGUCUUACUCUAGUAAUCUCAGAAUGGAAGAAUUAUAUGGACUGAAAAAUCACAAAUUGCUCAGCAAGUCCUGCUCCAGUGCCCCCAAGUCAUCCAAAACUGAGCUUUUCAAGGAACCUACCGCGGAGGGCAGGAGGCUCUCUCUUACCUCAGGGGUUAUUGGUAUCUUAGCACCAUCUUCAUCUUCAUCUUCCCAGCCUGCUCCAAAUGGUGCAAAAUGCAUUCCAAUACGGGACCAUGGCUUCCUAGUGCAGACAAUUGAGUUUGCUGAACAGCGGAUCCCUGUAUUGAAUGAGUACUGCUUGGAUUGUGAUGAGCCACGUGUGUUUCAGAAUGGCCCCAUGCUGAGGCCUACUGUGUGUUAACCGGAGCUGUGUAUAUUUGCUUUCCAACCCUGGGAGUAAUGCAUGAAGCUGUUGAUGAAAUAGCAACUAGAGCUCAGGUGGUAGAUCCACUAGUGUCCAUGUGUAGGUCUGCAUUGGAAUCUCCUAGAAAAGUUGUCAUUUUCAAGCCAUAUCCCUCUGUGGUGGACCCUAACAACCCUCAGAUACUGGCCUUCAACCCCAGGAAAAAGAACUAUGAUCGAUGAAAGCACUGGAUAGCAUAACUUCUAUCAGAGAAAUGAUACAAGCACCAUAUCUGGAAAUCAAGAAGCAGAUGGAUAAACAGGACCCCCUUGCUCAUCCCCUACUGCAAUGGGUUAUAUCAAGUAAUAGGUCACAUAUUGUGAAACUGCCAGUUAAUAAGCAAUUGAAGUUCAUGCACACUCCCCAUCAGUUCCUUCUUAGCAGUCCACCAGCCAAAGAAUCCAAUUUUAGAGCAGCUAAAAAACUCUUUGGAAGCACCUUCACAUUUCAUGGCUGUCACAUUGAAAACUGGCACUCCAUCCUGAGAAACGGUCUGGUUGUUGCUUCUAAUACACGACUGCAGCUCCACGGUGCAAUGUAUGGAAGUGGAAUCUAUCUUAGUCCAAUGUUAAGCGUAUCAUUUGGUUACUCAGGGAUGAACAAGAAGCAGACGGUAUCAGCCAAGGUUGAGCCAGCUUCAAGCAGUAAAAGCAGCAAUUCAUCACAGUCACAGAAAAAAGGGCAGCAGUCCCAGUUUCUGCAAAGCUGUAACUUAAAAUGCAUAGCCUUAUGUGAAGUGAUCACCUCACCUGGACCUGCACAAACAUGGAGAGAUAUGGGUUGUCCCAAAUACCGAUCAUGUCUGCACACGAUUCUUUUUUGUCUAUGAAGAUGGCCGAGUGGGAGAUGCAAAUUUUUUUUCUUUUUAUUAUGCAAAUAUUAAUACACAAGAAGGAGGCAUUCACAAGGAGAUCCUCGGAGAAAUUGGUAAUCAAACUGCUACUGGUUAAAGGACCAUUUAAUUAACAUGAAUUGAAAGCCUUCCUCGGGUUCAA